rnacentral:rRNA from 1 species
GACGAACCACCCAAACGUUAUUCGGAAUUACUGGGCGUAAAGGGCGCGUAGGCGGUUCGAUAAGUCCCGUGUGAAAGCCCCCGGCUCAACUGGGGAACUGCACGGGAAACUGACGGACUUGAGUUCGGGAGAGGGAAGCGGAAUUCCGGGUGUAGCGGUGAAAUGCGUAGAUAUCUGGAGGAACACCGGUGGCGAAGGCGGCAUUCUGGACUGUAACUGACACUGAGGAACGAAAGCCAGGGGAGCAAACGGG